rnacentral:rRNA from 1 species
GGAGAGGCGCCUUGUCUAUGUUCCUUGGAACAGGACGUCGCAGAGGGUGAGAAUCCCGUUUGGCGAGGUGUGCUGAUCCGUGUAAGGGCUGUUCGACGAGUCGAGUUGUUUGGGAAUGCAGCUCUAAGUGGGUGGUAAAUUCCAUCUAAAGCUAAAUAUUGGCGAGAGACCGAUAGCGAACAAGUACAGUGAUGGAAAGAUGAAAAGAACUUUGAAAAGAGAGUGAAAAAGUACGUGAAAUUGUUGAAAGGGAAGGUUAUUAGAUCAGACUUGGAUUUUUUAUUAUAUUUGUCUCCUUGUGGGGCAUUCACUAAUUUUUAAUCCAGGCCAGCAUCGAUUGGGAUGGCGGGAAAAAGAGGGAGGAACGUGGCUGUGCAUUUAUGUGCAGUGUUUAUAGCCUUUCUUAAUACCGCCUGUCUCGAUCGAGGACUGCGGCAAAUUUAU